AAGAUUGUUCUAACAAGUCUGAUUCAGUCAUGAUAUAACAAGAAUGUUACAAGUUUGACAUAACAAGGUUGUAACAACAUUGUUAUAUCACGACUGUAACGGGCUUGUUGGAACAACCUU